UAGUGAUACAUCUGAUGGGGAGGGUGAGUAAUGGCUAUGCCUUAUGGGCGUCCAUAUAUGGCUCCAUAUACCGUAUCUGGGGUAUGUGGCUCCACAGGCGCCGACGCAGCCUGUCGACUACAGCAGGAGGUUUAACCCCCACAUCUCCUCUGCGACCUAUGACGUCCAGUUCUGCCACCACUACCAGCAGCAGGCCUGUGUUGGGUCAGAGAACGCUUGUUCUGAGGUUCAAACUUAUCCCAGCCACACAGUCCACAAGCUGAUCGACAGCCUGGACAGGCUCAGAACCAGUGAGAACCUACCUGGAGACAGGGAGUCCCUAACCUCAGACGACCGUGUCUUCCCCUGGGACGACCGUGUCUUCCCCUGGGACGACUGUGGCCAAAGAACCCAGUAGGAGCUGGAGCCGAGGCCUCUGCCACAGAGACAGCCCCAACAGGGUAGGAUGAGGCCGAGGGACUCUCCUCUGCCCAGCAGCGUAUUCAAUGACUCCACACGGUGGUGGGCUAUAAUGCAGAGUCCAGCCAGAGCCGCCUGGAGGAGCUGGCUAAGCAAUACCACUCUGAGAAGCACCACCUGAAUACUGAAGAACCUUGGAUAGAGGGACAGGCCAGAGAACAGAGGAUCCUCCAGAGGAUGUAAAACAUGACUGUGGGGCCUUGACUAGGAGCAUUGAACUGAAUUGGGCUUCACAUGACCACCAUUCACUUGACUGUCUGGCUCCAUGACAAGGUUCUGAUUCCAUCCCACUCUGCUGAGCUGAAGGACCCUGUUUAUAAUCUGCUGUGAGGACCACAAUGAAGUCAUGUGUCAUGAAGAGCAGGAGCAGUUUGGGGAAACUCUGACCUAAUAUAUAAAUUCACUUGCACUAUGAAAUGCACACAAAGCACAUUGUAAUAAAUGAAGACACUCGUAAUGUUUGAAUAAGUGUUACAAAAAUAAUAUCUAAGGCAGCAGUUCAACAACUUUCUGUUCAGUAGAUGCCUGCAUUUCCAGUGUUUGAUGGUAGCCUUGAUGGACGCUGUGCAUUGAUCCUAAUCACAGCCUGGGCUGCAGCCUAACCGGACUGUACUGUGACACUAACCCCAUGUUGACCAGCAGAGCAGACUGGACCUGGGAGGGUUAGGCCCAGUCUACUCUACAGCAUUUCAACUCCUCUUACAGUGUCAGUGCAUUGUUCACCGAGGGUGAAGCCCAGGCUUUAAAGCAGUGGAAACGCAAUUUCCUGGUGAGAGGAGAUGUUUGGCUUCAAGUGCCAGUCGAAGUUUACAUGUCUCGUUUUGUUAUUAUGCAGAUAUUUUGAACAGUGUUGUCAAU
rnacentral:lncRNA from 1 species